CUUUGUCGCCCCAUGAAGAGGCUUAGACUGAGUUUUGGCAUUUCCCUGUGAGACGCUGCCCCUUAGGCAAAUGCAUCUGUCAUGGUUAAGCACCUGGGUUUAAAUGUAAUGUUUGAGGCUUACUGAAUCCUCACAGAUUCGUUGGCACCUGGAUGGCUAAGUCUUCAAGUUAUAAAACAAGAUCACAAGCCAAAAAGUAACAUAGGAAAUAAUAAAGACUGGAUCAUGUUAUCAGAUUUUACUGUUUCAUAUACAGAAGGCUAUCGGACUGUUUUGCCAGAUUCUAAAUGACAACUUUUAAGUCAGAGCCUUGAAAUCUAUAGAAGUCCAGUAUAUUCUGAGGUAUAUUGCAUACUAAUGGACAGCAGCAAGAGAUACAUCUGGUGGACUAAAA